UUUUCGGAGUAAAAGCUUAUUAAGUUGAUAGAUUUGGUCUAUUUGAAUGUGUUUCUGACGUUAAAUAACUUCACUGCCAUUUAACACAAAAAUAAAAUUCCUUGAAAAUGGAAACACUGGAUAGGGUAAUUAUUUAUAACACGUACUUUUUUCUAGUCCGUACUUGGGUGGAUUUGUGCCUUCUUCACUCCAGACCAGUGGCUCAUACAUUUCGAUCAACUUCAACUUCCAGGUUAUGUGCUGUUUUCUGGUGCUAUUUCUUCAGGAUUGUAGUAUGAUACUCGUAGCUGAGUUCGAAAAUCCUUGGCCUUGAGUGCUGUGCAGUAGUCUGUUGGUGCAUUAAAUGAAAGCAGAAUGCAAAUUAAUGAAUUUUGCUUUUUAGUCUUUAACGAAGUGGAAUUGAAAUAUUAUUUUCGUGGAUUUGCAAACGUCGAAUGACAUGAUGAGUUAUAACAAUGAUCAUCAACUCGUAAUUUGACACAUGUCAAAUUAUGAGCAGGGAAUAAAGUUAAAUUUUUUUAAUAUCUCGUUAA